rnacentral:rRNA from 1 species
UACGUAGGCAGCGAGCGUUGUUCGGAAUUACUGGGCGUAAAGCGUGCGCAGGCGGUGAUGUAAGACAGAUGUGAAAUCCCCGGGCUCAACCUGGGAACUGCAUUUGUGACUGCAUCGCUGGAGUGCGGGAGAGGGGGAUGGAAUUCCGCGUGUAGCAGUGAAAUGCGUAGAUAUGCGGAGGAACACCGAUGGCGAAGGCAAUCCCCUGGGCCUGCACUGACGCUCAUGCACGAAAGCGUGGGGAGCAAACAGG